GGUGAUGUAGCUCAGUUGGUCAGAGCGGCGGACUCAUAACCCGCAGGUCGGUGGUUCAAUUCCACCCAUCACCACCA
rnacentral:tRNA from 1 species